rnacentral:misc_RNA from 1 species
GAUUGAAAUAAAGAUGAUUCAAAAGCAGAGCCACAUGAAUAAUAUAAAUUCAAAGAUGUGUCAAAAAAAUUUCCCAAAUUAAGCAAAAAUAGUACAAUUUCUCCCUAAAUCGCAGCUCCCAUGAUCGGUUGACCAUUGUAGCCUCAUUUCACAUUAAUUAGCGCACACAGAAAGUACCCCAUUUGUAUCCUUUUUUACUGACAUCCUUAACCUGGACAGAAUCAUCCUUCUCUUUGAGUUGUGCGAGCAGCGAUGAUUCAGGGAUGAUGUGAUCGGGUUCUCACCGGACGAGCAAAGCCGGAUAGAGGAUCGAGUAGAAUUGGGUAGUGAGGGAUUAGGAAUUUAUGGAUGGACAUUGGAAGAAGAGUGAAGAAGAUUUUGAGUGCAAACAGAGACACUUCUGAGCAGAGAUCGUCUCAUGAUCAUGGUGGCAUUUCGAAUUUGCGUAGAGUUUUAGAUUUGGUAUUUUUUUUUAUCUUUUUAGUUGAUGAACAGAGCUGAAUGGCCCACGGCCCAGAAAGUUUGGGCCCAUUAACUAAACCAACCCAAUUAAAGGAAUACUG